AAUCAAAUUAUCAUUUUUUGAAAAGGACCCUUUACAUAUUAAAUCAAACAAACUAGGAUGAUUGACAUUUCAUUUCAUUGCUCAUCAGCCCAGGUAUAAUCCCCUCACAAAGCCAUGAAUACUAGGCUUCCUUUUAGUUCUUUUACCAUCGUCACCACAAACAUCAAUCCAACAAGACACCAAACAUACAUAUGGAAGUUUUACCCCCCGCCCCCCAAAAAAAAGGCGCCAGUGUUCAGUCACUUGUAAAAAACUUUACACAAUUGGCAGCUAUUAUCUUUCCCUUCACAAGAAAUUUUGUAAUUCAG
rnacentral:lncRNA from 1 species